rnacentral:rRNA from 1 species
AUGCGUUGUUGGGUAGGGGAGCGUUCUGUAAGCCUGCGAAGGUGUGCUGUGAGGCAUGCUGGAGGUAUCAGAAGUGCGAAUGCUGACAUAAGUAACGAUAAAGCGGGUGAAAAGCCCGCUCGCCGGAAGACCAAGGGUUCCUGUCCAACGUUAAUCGGGGCAGGGUGAGUCGACCCCUAAGGCGAGGCCGAAAGGCGUAGUCGAUGGGAAACAGGUUAAUAUUCCUGUACUUGGUGUUACUGCGAAGGGGGGACGGAGAAGGCUAUGUUGGCCGGGCGACGGUUGUCCCGGUUUAAGCGUGUAGGCUGGUUUUCCAGGCAAAUCCGGAAAAUCAAGGCUGAGGCGUGAUGACGAGGCACUGCGGUGCUGAAGCAACAAAUGCCCUGCUUCCAGGAAAAGCCUCUAAGCAUCAGGUAACAUCAAAUCGUACCCCAAACCGACACAGGUGGUCAGGUAGAGAAUACCAAGGCGCUUGAGAGAACUCGGGUGAAGGAACUAGGCAAAAUGGUGCCGUAACUUCGGGAGAAGGCACGCUGAUAUGUAGGUGAAGUCCCUCGCGGAUGGAGCUGAAAUCAGUCGAAGAUACCAGCUGGCUGCAACUGUUUAUUAAAAACACAGCACUGUGCAAACACGAAAGUGGACGUAUACGGUGUGACGCCUGCCCGGUGCCGGAAGGUUAAUUGAUGGGGUUAGCGCAAGCGAAGCUCUUGAUCGAAGCCCCGGUAAACGGCGGCCGUAACUAUAACGGUCCUAAGGUAGCGAAAUUCCUUGUCGGGUAAGUUCCGACCUGCACGAAUGGCGUAAUGAUGGCCAGGCUGUCUCCACCCGAGACUCAGUGAAAUUGAACUCGCUGUGAAGAUGCAGUGUACCCGCGGCAAGACGGAAAGACCCCGUGAACCUUUACUAUAGCUUGACACUGAACAUUGAGCCUUGAUGUGUAGGAUAGGUGGGAGGCUUUGAAGUGUGGACGCCAGUCUGCAUGGAGCCGACCUUGAAAUACCACCCUUUAAUGUUUGAUGUUCUAACGUUGACCCGUAAUCCGGGUUGCGGACAGUGUCUGGUGGGUAGUUUGACUGGGGCGGUCUCCUCCUAAAGAGUAACGGAGGAGCACGAAGGUUGGCUAAUCCUGGUCGGACAUCAGGAGGUUAGUGCAAUGGCAUAAGCCAGCUUGACUGCGAGCGUGACGGCGCGAGCAGGUGCGAAAGCAGGUCAUAGUGAUCCGGUGGUUCUGAAUGGAAGGGCCAUCGCUCAACGGAUAAAAGGUACUCCGGGGAUAACAGGCUGAUACCGCCCAAGAGUUCAUAUCGACGGCGGUGUUUGGCACCUCGAUGUCGGCUCAUCACAUCCUGGGGCUGAAGUAGGUCCCAAGGGUAUGGCUGUUCGCCAUUUAAAGUGGUACGCGAGCUGGGUUUAGAACGUCGUGAGACAGUUCGGUCCCUAUCUGCCGUGGGCGCUGGAGAACUGAGGGGGGCUGCUCCUAGUACGAGAGGACCGGAGUGGACGCAUCACUGGUGUUCGGGUUGUCAUGCCAAUGGCACUGCCCGGUAGCUAAAUGCGGAAGAGAUAAGUGCUGAAAGCAUCUAAGCACGAAACUUGCCCCGAGAUGAGUUCUCCCUGACUCCUUGAGAGUCCUGAAGGAACGUUGAAGACGACGACGUUGAUAGGCCGGGUGUGUAAGCGCAGCGAUGCGU